UACCACGGCUGCGCUCGGUAAUAGCAACACGUCAUUAUAUUAUGUGCAGUGACUUAUCACGUUUGCCGUAAAAUACCUAAGUUAUAUUAUUUUUUUGAUCACCUGUAGUCUUAACAUAAUAUAAAAAUAAGUUUCAAAGAUUAUCGUCACCCCGAUAGGGGUUCCAGGAUGAGAUUUUUGAACGUUAAAGGAUAUAAUUCCACCAAGUUCCGGUGAUUAGUUACCCGGACACCGAGAAUCCGAAAUCACCUGUGACACGUCGAGUCAUAACCUCCAGCUGAGGGGCCUGCACCGGCGUCUUCAACGUCAGGGGAGUACCGAGCAACAAAGGGCGAACUAGAUCAACCAACAAUACACCCUACGACCCUUGCUCAAAUUUUAUUUUAAUUAUUGUUAAUAAACAUCAUUUAAAGGCCG